rnacentral:rRNA from 2 species
UACGUACUGUGCGAACGUUAUUCGGAAUCACUGGGCUUAAAGGGUGCGUAGGCGGUUUUUCAAGUCAGGUGUGAAAUCUUCAGGCUCAACCUGGAAAUGGCGCUUGAAACUGAGAGACUUGAGGCAGCUAGGGGUGUGUGGAACUUCCAGUGGAGCGGUGAAAUGUGUUGAUAUUGGAAGGAACGCCGGUGGCGAAAGCGACACACUGGGGCUGAACUGACGCUGAGGCACGAAAGCCAGGGGAGCGAACGGG